GCCUGGCCUUGAACUCCCAAUCUUCCUACACUUAGGAGUUGGAGGCUGGAGGAUUGCUGUAAGCUUGAGGCCAGCCUGUUCCACAUAGCAUGGAUCCAGCAACCUAGGGCUACCCAGCAAGACUAUCUCAGAACACAAAACAAGAUGCAUAGAAACAGUCAUAGCUUGUUGGGUCUUUUCCAUAUUUACCAUUGAGUUAGACAUCUACCUGCCAUGACUGGGUAACUGGGAUAAACUGCAUAAUGGAUUGUUUUGCUAAAGUUUCAGAGAUUUAAGCUUUGUGUCCUUGGCCUAGGUCAUUUUGGGCUGUAGUAACAGAGAAGAUCCAGGACCUACAGGAAGCAGAGUGACAGGAAGAGGCCAGGGUCAAGAAACAGCCUCCAAGGACAAAUUAGAACCUCUCAUUAAGACCCCCCUCCCCAGGUCCAUCCCCUCCAGCAAUGCUGGGAAUCCACAUCAGGGGAGCAGAGCUAACUCAGGUCCUGCCUGGAACACUGACUGGCAUCAACAAUUUCUCAUUGAGAUGCUUCUUGGCCAUUUUGGGUAGAAUUCAUUUGCCAGUAAGGAUGAGUCUCACUCUUCUGCUGGGACCAGCCCAUGGCCUCCUCUUUGCUGAUGAUGUAUUUGGCUCAACUCAACUGUGUUUCUCGUCCUCUGUGUUGAAUCCUGGCCUAUUCAGCACCAUAUAGAAUCCAGGUCAUAGAUCCCAAUGCUUGGGUUGUAUUUGAUACUCAGAUCAAUAUGUUGUUCCUGGAUUCCAAACCCACAGUUUGCAGCCCGUGGGCAAAAUUGCCCUCCUUCUUCUUCCCAGCUGUGCUGUCAAAGGCCAGAGUUCAUCUUGUAUCUACUGAGAACAGUUCCAUGCCUAGGAAACAGUGAUGCUAAAUAAAUCUGAUGAAUAAGUAUUUGAAUUCAUAGACAUUCCCAUGGGAGACAGCAUAGGCAAAAACAAAUGAAAAAUACUCUCUGAUUUUUGAACCAUCUGGCCUGGCUUUCCACCCCUGGGUUCCAGCUAACACAGUGAAAAGCAACAAUAACAACCACAGUAGAUUAAUUAUCAGUAAACUAAACUGAGGAAACAAAUCAACAAGAUAGUGCUAUUGCCAGGGGUGGUGGCACCUGUCUAUAAUCUUAGAGCCCGGAAGGUAGAGGCAAAUGGAUCAUGAGUUCAAGGUCAUCUCUAGUUACACAGUGAAUUCUAGCUUCAUAACCUACACAAGCCGAGUGUGCACUCUCAUAUGUGUGUAUGUGCAGCAGACACACAUACACACACCACAGAUACAUUUAAAUGUAGGUUCUGCAUAUGACAGAAAACACGCUGUGUUUGCCUUUCUGAGUCUGGUUUAUUGCACUUAACAUAAUGAUCCCCAGUGACAUCUAUUUUCCUCCAAAUGUCAUCACUUAAUUUUUUUAAUGGCCGAGUACAAUUCCUUUGUGUAUAUGUGGCCCAUUUUCCUUAUCCAGCACUUUUUUCUCUUCUCCUUUCUUAAAUUACAUUUAGCAUGUAGGAUGGUAUUGGGCCGUGUGUACCAUCUCAUGCAUGCAGAGCUUCUGGGACCGCCUUUGUUUUCCUGAUAGUCAUUCUGAACCGGUGAGAUGCAAUCAGUUUAGAUUUGCAUUUCCCUUAUAGCUAAGGGUGCUGGGCUCUGAAUUUCACUGCUUCAAGUCCUCAGGUCAAGUCCUUGGCUUUGGUCCAUAAGUUUGUUAGGUGAUUUGAGGAUUUCCUUGUUUGUUUUGUUUUGAAUGUGUGUACGUAUUUAGUUUUUGCAGUUCUUCAUACACUGUGCAUAUUAAUCCCCCAUAGGGAUGCGCAGGAAAUACCAUAUAUUUGUAAACUCAACCUAAGGGAAAAAAAUCGUAUUUCAUUAUAAAUCACAGGCAAACUAACUUGCUGUCUGGGUUGAAGGAGAUUUUAAGACUGGGCAUUCAUUUAUUUGUACAAGAGAUUGAACCCUGCACCCCAUGUAUACCAGUGAAACACUGUACCAUUGAGCUCUCUGCCCUGCAGUUUUUGUUUUGAGGUAGUAUAUAUAAUAACUACAUUGGUUGGACUGUCCCUGGAUUUCUGUAGUUCAACGAUCAGGGUUAAAGGUUAACCUCAGCUACAAAGCAAGUUUGAAGUCAUUCUCAGCUACAUAAGAAGACCUGUCCCAAGAUAUACAGCCAAACUAGAUUGAAAUAAAAUAAAAUAAUAGAAUUCAAAAGUGGGGAAGCUCAUAGCAGUCCAGCAGGCAGCUGGCAGCAAUGGCCCCGAUUUCAGUCUCCAACACACAGGCACAUUCGUGAAUGCACUCCAUACUCUCACCUAGAUAAACCAACCACAAAAAAUUCAUUCACAGCUCAUUUUUUGUAAAAUAAAGGCAAAUUGAGUUAC